UUAAUUGUGAAGUUAGCACUGAAGGAAGCGAGACUGCAAAAUCUGGUACUGACGAACAGAAUCAAGCGAAGCGUAUCACGAACACAAAUAAAAAUAAACAAUAAUAGUGAGUAAACGGAAUAUGAGGCAAUAAAACUUGGAUAAGUAAGCACACCUUUACGACGUCCCAAAUUUUGGAGUUUUAUUGUAGAUUCCGCAGGCAUUAGCGGAGCCAUCUCAU
rfam:Bacteroidetes bacterium GWF2_33_38 gwf2_scaffold_437, whole genome shotgun sequence.